rnacentral:rRNA from 1 species
UACAGAGGGUGCGAACGUUGCUCGGAAUUACUGGGCGUAAAGCGCGUGUAGGCGGGCGCUCAAGUCAGGUGUGAAAUCCCCAGGCUCAACCUGGGAACUGCACUUGAAACUGGGCGCCUUGAGUGCUGGAGAGGGAAGCGGAAUUCCUGGUGUAGAGGUGAAAUUCGUAGAUAUCAGGAGGAACACCGGUGGCGAAGGCGGCUUCCUGGACAGUUACUGACGCUGAGACGCGAAAGCGUGGGGAGCAAACAGG